AACGAACGCUGGCGGCAGGCUUAACACAUGCAAGUCGAGCGCAUCCUUCGGGGUGAGCGGCGGACGGGUGAGUAACGCGUGGGAACGUGCCCUCUUCUACGGAAUAGCCUCGGGAAACUGAGAGUAAUGCCGUAUACGCCCGCAAGGGGCAAGAUUUAUCGGAGGAGGAUCGGCCCGCGUUGGAUUAGGUAGUUGGUGGGGUAACGGCCUACCAAGCCGACGAUCCAUAGCUGGUUUGAGAGGAUGAUCAGCCACACUGGGACUGAGACACGGCCCAGACUCCUACGGGAGGCAGCAGUGGGGAAUCUUGGACAAUGGGGGCAACCCUGAUCCAGCCAUGCCGCGUGAGCGAUGAAGGCCUUAGGGUUGUAAAGAUCUUUCAGCUGGGAAGAUAAUGACGGUACCAGCAGAAGAAGCCCCGGCUAACUCCGUG
rnacentral:rRNA from 1 species